rnacentral:rRNA from 1 species
CCCUUAGAUGUUCUGGGCCGCACGCGUGCUACACUGAACGGUUCAAUGGGUAAGGUAGUGCGAAAGCAUGACCUAAUCUCGAAAUCCGUUCGUGCUGGGGAUAGAAGCUUGCAAUUAUCCUUCUUGAACGAGGAAUACCUUGUAAGCGUGAGUCAUCAUCUCACGCUGAAUACGUCCCUGCCCUUUGUACACACCGCCCGUCGCUCCUACCGAUUGAGUGUUCCGGUGAGGCUUUGGGAGGAUGGCCUCAACAUGAGUUUAUCGUGUUUUGCCGUUUGAACUUAGUCAAACCUUAUCACUUAGAGGAAGGAGAAGUCGUAACA